UACAGAGGUCCCAAGCGUUGUUCGGAUUCACUGGGCGUAAAGGGUGCGCAGGUGGGUUUGCAAGUUCGAUGUGAAAGCCACGGGCUUAACCCGGGAAUGGCAUUGGAUACUGCAGAUCUGGAGGAUCGGAGGGGGGACUGGAAUUCUUGGUGUAGCAGUGAAAUGCGUAGAUAUCAAGAGGAACACCAGUGGCGAAGGCGAGUCCCUGGACGAUACCUGACACUGAGGCACGAAAGCUAGGGUAGCAAACGGG
rnacentral:rRNA from 1 species